CCAAGUUGUUGAAUUCUUUCAUGUUCGUUUCGUUUUGGGCUUAAUAAGCAAAGGUGGCUUUUUGUUAUUUCUGAACUUAAAACUUAUAAAUGUUAAGAACUAAGCUACAUUUAUUUAGAGUAAUGUGCCUGACAAUGUUCGAAAAUUAGGAAACUUGUAUUGUUUUCAGCUUGAGUAGGGGGCUGCACACCGCGCAAGUACAGAGUGUAGACAAGGA
rnacentral:lncRNA from 1 species